CGCUCUCAGCUCCGCCAACAUGAGGCCGCUGGCGGCUCUGACGCUGCUUGCCGCGCUGGUGGCCCUGGCAGGGGCCACCUUUGUGUCGCGGCCUCGAUGCCCGCUGACCAAAAGUUGCCAGCCAGCUAGUGUCAAAAGCCUCUGCCGGCGCAACUUGGACUGCAGGAACGGAGCCAGCUGCUGCCAGCUUGGCUGUCUGCGCCGCUGCUGGUCCCCGACGUCCAUCAGACCCCGGCCCCGUCCGCGUCCGGACACCCGUCGCCGUCGUCGCAGCUCCAGCGGCCCCAGUCGCCGCCGUCGUAACACUAGCGGCAACCGUCGCCGCCGUCGUAACUCCAGCGGUAACCGUCGUCGUCGUAACUCCAGCGGCCGCCCUCGCCGUCAGCGUCGCUCUCCGCAGCUGAGGUGCCGUCCCCGCUGCCGUCGGGGCGAGGUGUGUCGUCUUCGCCGCGUCUGCGGCAAACUCGGCUGCACCCGAGUGCCUAGGUGCCUUAGACCGGUUGUCCGACCGCGUCCACAGCGUCCCCACUGCCCUAAGGGAUGCCGCGGGUGCGGCCUGGUUAAGGGAGUGCUUAAGUGCCUCAAAUGGUGAGCGGCAGGGUCUAAGUAUGAACGCUCCUGAAUCCGACCACAGGUUGCGCCCAGAACGACAUUGAUCUGUGAUGUCAAACGACAUAUAAUAAUAUGUUGACCAGUAAUCCCAGCUCGACCUCUUGACCCCAUGUCGACCCACCCUUAGUCCUGCCUGAUAGUCAGUGAGGAUUUGACACAGAACGAUGACAAGUCUAAUUAUGAACAUUUAAGUUUUGACAUUAUGAAUCACUAAAAAAUCACUAAAAAGCGUGUUAUGAAAUUAAUCGAUCAAGGCACUGCUUGGAGUAUUUCGAUAUUUUCUGCUGAAUAAAAGUAAUGGAAAUUUUA